rnacentral:lncRNA from 10 species
AUUCUAGCACCUUUCUCUUGCUUAUCUGUAACUUCUAACUCCAACAGUGAGAAACCUGGAUUCCCCCAGCCCCCAUUCAUUUGCUUAGGAGUUCAAUUACAGUGUACCUGUAGAGCAGUAUCAGAAUUAUUAACCUAUAACCUUGGGGAAAACAAUUUUAUCAAGUAGAGUGCAGAGCUUGUGUACAUUUUCUUUUGCCUUUAAGCUUACAGGCUCCACUCAUUUACAAAGUUACUCAGAUCAGAAACUUUUCCCCCAACUCAACUCAGAGAGAUUGUUUCACACAUUUGUAACAGUUACAUCAUUUU